CCUACGGGUGGCAGCAGUCGAGAAUCAUUCACAAUGGGGGAAACCCUGAUGGUGCGACGCCGCGUGGGGAAUGAAGGUCUUCGGAUUGUAAACCCCUGUCAUGUGGGAGCAAAUGAAAAAGAUAGAACCAAAAGAGGAUGAGACGGCUAACUCUGUGCCAGCAGCCGCGGUAAUACAGAGGUCUCAAGUGUUGUUCGGAAGCACUGGGCGUAAAGCGGGCGUAGGCUGUUUCGUAAGUCGUGUGUUAAAGAGGCGGGCUCAACCCGCGGACGGCACAUGAUACUGCGAGACUAGAGUAAUGGAGGGGGAACCGGAAUUCUCGGUGUAGCAGUGAAAUGCGUAGAUAUCGAGAGGAACACUCGUGGCGAAGGCGGGUUCCUGGACAUUAACUAACGCUGAGGCACGAAGGCCAGGGGAGCGAAAGGGAUUAGAUACCCUUGUAGUC
rnacentral:rRNA from 1 species